UACGAAGGGGGCUAGCGUUGUUCGGAAUUACUGGGCGUAAAGCGUUUGUAGGCGGUUAUACAAGUCAGAUGUGAAAGCCCAGGGCUCAACCCUGGAAUUGCAUUUGAAACUGUAUAGCUAGAGAAUGUUAGAGGAAAGUGGAAUUCCUAGUGUAGGAGUGAAAUCCGUAGAGAUUAGGAGGAAUAUCGAUGGCGAAGGCAGCUUUCUGGGACAUUUCUGACGCUGAGAAACGAAAGCGUGGGUAGCAAACAGG
rnacentral:rRNA from 1 species